ensembl:lncRNA
CCCCGACUUAGGUGUUUUUGUCAUUUACAUGUGACAAAUGAAACUCAGAACCAAUUCUCAAUAGAUGUCGAGGUUCUUGUUUUUGCUCACUAGGGGGAUGUGACAUUUCUUUUCUAUUACAGGAAGUUAAGUGACUAUCGGGCCAACAAGACAUAGGAAACAGGAAAUGGUUGAGAGUCCUGGAAUUCCCCUGGCUGACUGGUUACUACUCCAGGCCUAACAGGAACAAGUUUGUGUCCUUCAGCAAGUUCCCCUAAAAAGAAGGGCUUGUUUUCGUCCUCAAAAAGAUGAACUAGGAAUUGGACGAAUGAAUUAAGUGCGAGCGUUAACGUUACAUAAGCCGAAAAAGAAGACUCAAGCAUAAGUCUUUUUUCAGAAGGGCGGAGGACGUCUUCGGGGCACCCCGCGCAUGCGCAGGUAUCGGAAGACGCAGGCCCUCACCUGCCCUACGGCGGCUCUUGUUAAUCGUUCAAAAACGACUCGUGCCCAUUUUGGUCUGUUUACGCUUGGCCAGGAUUUGCUUUGGUGAAAAAAAACGCGGAGCGAAGCGCUGUUUAGGUGAUCCCACAUAAUCGAGGGUGGUGGUGGAGAACUCACAACAAAAAACGUGUGGGUUUUAUUUACUCUCACAGCCUAGCCUUUGACCCAGCUUAAGCCAAUUGCCGGCGGCUUCUUUCGCACCGCGACGCCUGGCAUUUCAUCCCCAUCGAGUUCGUUGCUCUGCAACUCAGUCCACUCACACAACGCCUCCGCCCCCGCCCCCUGGGUGGCGGUUGGCGCAGCUGCUUCUCAUUCUACUCCAGGCAGGAGGGGGUGUGAUGACGUCAGCGCGACGUCAGCCUCCGCCAGGAGAGGGCCGGGGGCGCCUGUCUGUGAGAGGGGUGCGGGUCUAACGACUGCCCCUGGCCCUAGGCCCCCGACAGCCUCAGCUUUCCAGGACAGACGGGCCGAGGCCCGUGAGAGGCCGCCUAGGAAGCCGGACCUGCGUCCCUUUCUCCCUUUGCCAGCCACGCCCCCCGGGGACUGCGAUCUUACAUCAAAGAAGAUUCUGUUUUGUAGACAUUUUCAUUUUCUUCUUCAGAGCAAUAAAUUCCAGUAUGGAGACCUAGAAUUCUUAAAGGGACAUAGUCUAAACCCUGGGAGGUAGUUUUGUGCUUGACUAUAGAUAUUAAAUAAUGAUGAUUUAAAAGUACCUUUUCAGAGUUAAUGAUGCAUUAACAUCUGUACAAUAAUUUUUUGAUAGGGCAACAAUUUUUAAGCAUAUAGAAAAAAACUGUGAGGUUUUUCUGUAGCUGUUUGUGACGUAGCAUAUCCUUAGGUAAAAAUGGUAGCACUCUAUAUAUGUGGUCCCCAGAUAACAUGCUGUAAUUUAAUUUUUUAAAUGCAAAGAAAAGCUUCUGUUAUAGAAAUUAAAUAGCUUUUUGAAGUUUGUAGGAAAAGUGUAACAUCCAGUGGUCCUAAAUUGUAGAAAAUUUGAGUACCAGUUAUAGUGAAGUAGAAGACUGAAAAAUAUUGAAAAAACGUUGAAUGAAUCAGCAACAUUUUACUUCAAAACAGAAGAAUCAGUACUUGUGUGCAGUUUAGCAAGUGACAAGAUAUAGAAGGCAAGUGAAAUUUGGUCACGUGAAACCAUAUCUAUCUUUAUUUAGUGUACAAAUUUUUGUGUGUGUAUUGGACUUUGAAAGUGAAGUUAAAGGAUACUAGACUGUAAAGCAUUCCAUUAACUUUUAAAGCAUGGCCUCAAUUUAGCAAUAUAAUUUAAAAUAUUUCUAACACUAUAAAGUUGAUUUCAAGUGUUUAAGAUAUUUUUGGUUCUUUGUAAAAUGGCUUUAGGAAAAUAAGUGUUAAAUAGGAUCUAAAACAAUUUUUUUUCUCUUUAAUACAGUAUAUAUUUUUAAUGAUCAGGUUUUACAGCUUCCUACAAAAAGCAAAGAUAGGUAAUUUGAGUUUUAUCCAACUUAAGGUUUUUGAAAUAUAGAAAAUAUAUAUGUAUAUGAACACAAAUGUGCAUUUAAGGUAUGUAUCUUUAAAAGUACAUCAAGUUUCAGUCCAUUGAGGUAGCAUUGUAAUAAACGAGGGACAUGAUGAUAAAAUAGCA